rnacentral:rRNA from 1 species
AUUGAACGCUGGCGGCAUGCUUUACACAUGCAAGUCGAACGGAGUGGCGAACGGGUGAGUAAUAUAUCGGAACGUACCGAGUAAUGGGGGAUAACCAAUCGAAAGAUUGGCUAAUACCGCAUAUUAUUCGAGCGGCCGAUAACUGAUUAGCUAGUUGGUGGGGUAAAGGCCUACCAAGGCGACGAUCAGUAGCGGGUCUGAGAGGACGAUCCGCCACACUGGGACUGAGACACGGCCCAGACUCCUACGGGAGGCAGCAGUGGGGAAUUUUGGACAAUGGGGGAAACCCUGAUCCAGCCAUCCCGCGUGUGCGAUGAAGGCCUUCGGGUUGUAAAGCACUUUUGGCAGGAAAGCGGUACCUGCAGAAUAAGCACCGGCUAACUACGUGCCAGCAGCCGCGGUAAUUC